rnacentral:Y_RNA from 1 species
GGCUGGUCUGAAGGCAGUGGUACUUACAACUAAUUGAUCACAACCAGUUACAGAUUCCUUUGUUCCUUCUCCACCCCCACUGCUUCACUUAACUAGCCUUAA